ensembl:snRNA U6 U6 spliceosomal RNA
AUGCGCUUCCUUGUAUACUAAAAUUGCACUGAUAUGGAGAUUAGCAUGACUCCCACACAAGGAUGACAUACUAAUUUGUGAAGUGUUCCACACUAAC